CAUGCGCUCUCCUUGUUUUUGUUGGUACAGAAUGGAAAUAAUAAUAGGCUAGUGUUUUUUUUACGGUAAGAUCAAAAUGAUGCGCACAUCCCCAUCCUUCAGAUUUGGGACCAUCACAGACACUAUCAGCUUUUUCUUUAAAAUGUUUCCCUCAGAGUAAAGACAAAACUUACAGAGAAUUUUCUGUAUUAUUUAGAGGGGAAAGUGGAUAAAUUGUCCAUCUUUUUCAGAUCGUCUUCAAGAUAAUACAAUUGGUCCGCUGUCUGCUGGAAAGGUUAUGACUGGACGCAAAUUAUUUUCUCGAAAACCAGAACACGGGCCAAGGGUCACGGGAGGUCACUGCCUCUCUCUGUGUGCCAGUAACAGACACAGACGGUUAACAACCGGGCACAGCUUCAAAGAGCCAAGCAGUUAGUGGCGAUGUCGCAGCGGUGUCGGGGUGAGCCGUAAUGUAUUGUGCUGCAAACAAGAAGGAUUGCAGGAUCCCUGCCUCCCAGCCCGUGGGAGCCCGCGGUGACGCCGGAGCUCAGGUAUAUGGAUGGCCUGAGGAG
rnacentral:lncRNA from 1 species